rnacentral:rRNA from 1 species
UACGUAGGGACCGAGCGUUGUCCGGAUUCAUUGGGCGUAAAGAGCUCGUAGGCGGCCACUCAAGUCGAAUGUGAAACCUCGAGGCUUAACCUCGAGCCUGCAUUCGAUACUGGGUGGCUAGAGUCUGGUAGGGGGAUCUGGAACUCCUGGUGUAGCGGUGGAAUGCGCAGAUAUCAGGAGGAACACCGGUGGCGAAGGCGGGAUCCUGGGCCAGUACUGACGCUGAGGAGCGAAAGCGUGGGGAGCGAACAGG